CACUCUCUGACAGCGAGCGCCACGCUGCUCUGGUCCACCUGCUGCGCCAGCCACACUCCGUUCCAGAACUGACAAGCGUCAAGUUGCACUUUCGGAGUGUUCCCAGCUUGCAAGUUUAAAAGUUUGCAGAAGCUAGCGUUAGCAGUUAGCGUCUUCAACGACCACCAAAACUCAUUUCUUGGGCGUGCAUUUUGGUGCAACGAUGUAACUAAAGCUUUUAACGGUGGCAAUGUCUGGACGACAGCGUCGUUUGGCCGGAGGUGCAAACCUUUCAAAUGAGCCCGUCAUGGCCGACUAACUUUCUGCCUGCAUCUGGAACAGAGGAAGCAGAUUGACUGCAAAAUGGCAAAAAUAUUUUUAUUAGCAAGUCAUCUUGUCAAAUUGACUAAAGCAAACAUUUGUUUUUCUUUGUCUGCAGGGUCCAAGAUGGCUGCCUUGCAGUUCCCGCAUAGCUUCAUGAAACACUUGCAGGUCUACUCUUGCUCAAUUUGCUAGUUAGGCUGAAAAUGUUAAAGCAGACUGGUUCUAACCUUACCGUGUCUUUCAGACCAGCGAGCUGUGGUUGGAGAGACUGCUGCCCUCCAUUUCUCACUGGUGAAACAUGCACGCGUCCAAAUGUUUGACACAUGUCAAACAUUUCAGUUUGUUCAUCUUUCUUUUGUCCACCAAGUGGUGCCAAAGGACCUAAUUUCUGCAACAUGGAUCUGCUGGUGUGGUUCUAAAAGGUUUUGAACCUGUGGAAUCAGAUGUGCUGACAGGUGACAACUUAUUACAAACUUGGCAAUAUUUAAAAGCACUUACCUGCUUCUUUUUUGGCCUCCCACUUCCUGCAGAGCACUUUCCAGUACGGAUGAAGUUGGAAAAUUUGCCACCUGCUGGCCAAAGGUGUCCACCCCGGAGAGCAGAGUGGACAAAUCCUGGUUCACAAAGUGCAAAGCCUGCCAGUUUGUCUUCUGCCACAACUACUCUGAGCUUGUCCACCUGGAUCCGUCCUGCCUAAAGAACCUACUGCUGUGUGGAGCACCAUCAAGUACCUUCUCACAGCAGAAGCUGAGGACCAGAACAAAGCUACAGACCAGCAGCACUUACAUUUCCUUGUUACUUCCUCAUGAACCUGAAAAGAAGCAAGGAACAAAAUCAACAUCCUGAAUCAUGCAGCAAGGAACAAAAUCGUCUACCUGGUCAUGCAGCUUGCAAAACUCUCCACAUACUCAACUUGUACACUGGCAGGGAAGAACACUCAUCCCACUACCUGACCACUUACUGCCUGUCCCUCUGGCCAACUGCUCGUCCGCACAACCUCUCGUCUAUCUGACCGACCACUUCACCAGUCUGCAAUGAGCAGAUUGCUAUCCAACUUGUUACUUUCUUGUGAUUGUUUACUCUGCAAAAGAAUAAAACAAUUACAAAUAACAA